UACGUAGGGUGCAGGCGUUAAUCGGAAUUACUGGGCGUAAAGCGUGCGCAGGCGGUUUGCUAAGACAGGUGUGAAAUCCCCGGGCUUAACCUGGGAACUGCGCUUGUAACUGGCAAGCUUGAGUGUGGCAGAGGGGGGUGGAAUUCCACGUGUAGCAGUGAAAUGCGUAGAGAUGUGGAGGAACACCGAUGGCGAAGGCAGCCCCCUGGGCUAACACUGACGCUCAGGAGCGAAAGCGUGGGGAGCGAUCCGG
rnacentral:rRNA from 1 species